UUCGCAAUGCCCGAAAGGGUGACGAUGCGACGCCGCGUGAGCGAAGAAGGCCCUAGGGUUGUAAAGCUCUGUCGAGGGUUAUGAAAUAUAGAUGGGUUAAUACCCCAUUUAUUUGACAAAAGCCCAAAAGGAAGCCACGGCUAACUCUGUGCCAGCAGCCGCGGUAAUACAGAGGUGGCGAGCGUUGUUCGGUAUUAUUGGGCGUAAAGAGCACGUAGGUGGUUUUGUAAGUCAGGUGUGUAAGCCUUCUGUUCAAAGGAAGAACGGCAUCUGAAACUGCAGAUCUUGAGUGUAGGAGGGGAGAGUGGAACUUCUGGUGGAGCGGUGAAAUGCGUAGAUAUCAGAAGGAACGUCGGCGGCGAAAGCGACUCUCUGGCCUAUUACUGACACUGAGGUGCGAAAGUUAGGGGAGCAAACGGGAUUAGAUACCCCGGUAGUCCUAACCGUAAACGAUGGGCACUAAGUAGAGGGGUUUU
rnacentral:rRNA from 1 species